UCAGGCAGGGGCACAGGCCUCCUGGGUCUGCUUUCGGCGCCUAGGAUUCGGUGAAAGCUCGAGUGACAGAAUCCUAGAGCUGAAAAGCACCUCAAGAAGCCAUCGGUCCAACCCUGUUU
rnacentral:precursor_RNA from 15 species